UACGAAGGGGGCUAGCGUUGCUCGGAAUCACUGGGCGUAAAGGGUGCGUAGGCGGGUCUUUAAGUCAGGGGUGAAAUCCUGGAGCUCAACUCCGAAACUGCACUUGAUACUGCGGUGCUCGAGUACUGGAGAGGAGAUUGGAAUUUACGGUGUAGCAGUGAAAUGCGUAGAUAUCGUAAGGAAGACCAGUGGCGAAGGCGAAUCUCUGGACAGUUACUGACACUGAGGCACGAAGGCCAGGGAGCAAAGCGGG
rnacentral:rRNA from 1 species